CGAAGUGGCAGAAAGUUUGACCUGUGCUGGGAGAUUUUUCUCUAACCCGUUGGGUGGACUCGUCACCACGGCUUCCUGGCGACCUGCACGCGGAUCCCACUCGUUUUUAUUUUUGUCUUGAUACGGACCAAAGUCCACUGUGGUCGGCAGGAGGAAUUCCUCAGACUAGUGACCCUUGACUCUGGAAAGGUGUCUCUCCUGGUAACUUGGGUGGUCAGAACUGGGCAGGUUCUGUGGACCUCAGAGCCCCAUUUGAUGAGCUGGACAGUGGGGGCAGACAGCACGGUCUGGCCGUGUGGCCCUUGGAAUUCAAAAUUUCCAGAGAGAAAAGAUGCUAAAAUUAAAAAAUGACUUCUGAGCAUCGAGCUGUGAUCUAGAGAUGAGGGUGACAUGGUGGCUGAGACCUCAGGAAGAGGAAAGGAUGAGUGAUUCUCUCGCAGGUCCAGGUACUGAGGCCUGGGUGUGCCUCCCAGAUGACCCAGUGACCGCGGCCCCUCCAGGAUCCCCGGGGCAGGCCCUCAGCCUCCCCGCAAGCGGCCAGAUGGGAAAAAGCUCAACCCGGAGAGAUCAUGGGUGGAACUUUCCUGGGAUGAAGUGAGCCUCAGGGAGACCCACAGGCUCCUGAGAAAAGCUGCCAGGCAGCCUUCAGGGACAUGCAGAAAAGGGGGCAGUGGGUCCCCCACGUCCUACUGACCAGACGCAGAUGGCCUUCCAUGAAAAAGGACGGACAGCUCAGAGGACAGGAUGGAGACCCAGAGAGCAAAGCCCAGAGCCAUGGAGAAUCCUUCCCAGACCUUGGGGUCCAGGCAGGGCACUUUAUUGUCUCCCGCUGGUCUCAGGUGGCCUGGGACCGGGGCCCCACCGUGCCCCCUGUUUCUCCUCUGAACAGCAAUGCCCAUCUCGAUGCCCUGCCCUAAGGUAGAAAAGGCCACUGUCAGGACAGCAGUCAGGGCGUGGCCAUCUGGGCUCUGGGGAGAUGACCCCCUCCAAGUUCGCCCACGUGGGUGUGGGCAGCUCACCGUGUGGCGGAGGUUCCAUCAGGGCACAUGGGCAGGGGGGUGGGAGCCAGCGGGAUCCCAGCCCUUUGCUCUUGGAGAGGUAAAAUCCACGUGUGAUCCAUCACCUCCCAGUUGUAGCUCAUGGGCACACAGGCAUUCACCGCUCUAGAUUUGAAACCUUUCCAUCACCCCCAAGAACGCUCAGUCCUGCUAAGUGGUCACCCCCAACCCCUCUCCCCCAGCCCCUGGGCCAGCACCAGUUUCUCUCCGCCUGCGGAUCAGCCCGUGCUAGCCCCUCACCUUCCAGAGGAAUCCCAACAUAUGUGUGUGCCUCUUCGCUCUGCGUCCUGUUUUCAAGAUCCCUCCACAUGGCAGCGUGAGCCAGUCCUUCGCUCUUCAUUACUUUUUAAGACAUGAACCUUAUUUUUUAGAGUUGUUUUAAGUUCACAGAAAAAUUCCACUCCUUUUUUAUGGCAGAAUAAUAUUUCAGUCCAUGGAUACACUGAA